UCGUGCGAGAAAGUAUCUUCGGAUAUGAGUAGAGCGGCGGACGGGUGAGUAACGCGUAGGAAUCUACCUAGUAGAAGGGGAUAGCCCGAGGAAACUCGGAUUAAUACCGUAUACCUCCUUAGGGAGAAAGAGGGCCUCUCUUGAUGCUCUCGCUACUAGAUGAGCCUGCGUAAGAUUAGCUUGUUGGUGAGGUAAUGGCUCACCAAGGCUACGAUCUUUAGCUGGUCUGAGAGGACGAUCAGCCACAUUGGGACUGAGACACGGCCCAGACUCCUACGGGAGGCAGCAGUGGGGAAUAUUGGACAAUGGGCGCAAGCCUGAUCCAGCCAUACCGCGUGUGUGAAGAAGGCCUUCGGGUUGUAAAGCACUUUAAGCAGGGAGAAAAAGUUAUAAGUUAAUACCUUAUAACCGUGAUGUUACCUGCAGAAUAAGCACCGGCUAAUUCCGUGCCAGCAGCCGCGGUAAUACGGAAGGUGCAAGCGUUAAUCGGAAUUACUGGGC
rnacentral:rRNA from 1 species